rnacentral:rRNA from 1 species
UACGUAGGGGGCUAGCGUUGUCCGGAUUUAUUGGGCGUAAAGAGCGUGUAGGCGGCCAGGUAGGUCUGCUGUGAAAACUCGAGGCUCAACCUCGAGACGUCGGCGGAAACCAUCUGGCUAGAGUCCGGAAGAGGAGAGUGGAAUUCCUGGUGUAGCGGUGAAAUGCGCAGAUAUCGAGAGGAACACCUGCGGCGAAGGCGGGUUGCUGGGCUGACACUGACGCUGAAGUGCGAAAGCUAGGGGAGCGAACGGG